rnacentral:lncRNA from 1 species
UCCCUCUGACCUCUGCCUCCCCAUUCUAGGACUGUGCACUACAAUCCCACCAGCACAAAGCACUUCUCCUUCUCCGUGGGUGCUGUGCCCCGGGCCCUGCAGCCUCAGCUGGGUAUCCUGCGGUACUUCGCCUCCUACAUGGAGCAGCACCUCAUGAAGGUGUGAGGGCUGGGGCUGUGGUACAUUGAAACCUAACCCAUCCUGGCCGGGUGCGGUGGCUCACGCCUGUAAUCCCAGCACUUUGGGAGGCCGAGGCGGGUGGAUUAUGAGGUCAGGAGAUCGAGACCAUCCUGGCUAACAAGGUGAAACCCCGUCUCUACUAAAAAUACAACAAAUUAGCCGGGCGUGGUGGCGGGCGCCUGUAGUCCCAGCUACUCGGGAGGCUGAGGCAGGAGAAUGGGCGAACCCAGGAGGCGGAGCUUGCAGUGAGCAGAGAUGGCGCACCAUUGCACUCCAGCCUGGGCAACAGAGCGAGACUCCAUCUCAAAAAAAAAAAAUAAAGAAAAGAAAACUAACCCAUCCUGAUCCCUCUGAUUCCCCCUUGGUGGUGGUUGGGGUUGCUGAAAGCUAGAGGAUAAGGCAUACACUAAUGGGGAGGGGGCUGUCUCACGCUGGAUCAGUGACCUGCCCUGAUCCUGCUCCCAGGGUGGAGAUCUGCCCAGUGUGGAAGAGGUAGAGGUACCUGCUCCGCCCUUGCUGCUGCAGUGGGUCAAGACGGAUCAGGCUCUCCUCAUGCUGUUUAGUGAUGGCACUGUCCAGGUGAACUUCUACGGGGACCACACCAAGCUGAUUCUCAGUGGCUGGGAGCCCCUCCUUGUGACUUUUGUGGCCCGAAAUCGUAGUGCUUGUACUUACCUCGCUUCCCACCUUCGG